CCUACGGGAGGCAGCAGUGAGGAAUAUUGGUCAAUGGGCGCGAGCCUGAACCAGCCAAGUAGCGUGAAGGAUGACUGCCCUAGGGGUUGUAAACUUCUUUUAUAUAGGAAUAAAACGACGCACGUGUGCCAUUUUGUAUCUACUAUAUGAAUAAGGAUCGGCUAACUCCGUGCCAGCAGCCGCGGUAAUACGGAGGAUCCGAGCGUUAUCCGGAUUUAUUGGGUUUAAAGGGAGCGUAGAUGGAUUGUUAAGUCAGUUGUGAAAGUUUGCGGAUCAACCGUAAAAUUGCAAUUGAUACUGGCAGUCUUGAGUACAGUAGAGGUAGGCGGAAUUCGUGGUGUAGCGGUGAAAUGCGUAGAUAUCACGAAGAACUCCGAUGGCGAAGGCAGCUUACUGGACUGCAACUGACAUUGAGGCUCGAAAGUGUGGGUAUCAAACAGGAUUAGAUACCCCGGUAGUC
rnacentral:rRNA from 1 species